AGAGUUUGAUCCUGGCUCAGAAUCAACGCUGGCGGCGUGCCUAACACAUGCAAGUCGAACGAGAAAGGGUAGCAAUACCUGAGUAAAGUGGCGCACGGGUGAGUAACACGUGACUAACCUACCCUGGAGUGGGGGAUAACUGAGGGAAACCUUAGCUAAUACCGCAUAACACCUACGGGUCAAAGGAGCAAUUCGCUUCAGGAGGGGGUCGCGGCAGAUUAGUUAGUUGGCGGGGUAAUGGCCCACCAAGACAGUGAUCUGUAUCCGGCCUGAGAGGGCGCACGGACACACUGGAACUGAAACACGGUCCAGACUCCUACGGGAGGCAGCAGUGGGGAAUUUUGCGCAAUGGGGGAAACCCUGACGCAGCAACGCCGCGUGGAGGAUGAAGUCCUUCGGGACGUAAACUCCUUUCGAUCGGGACGAUAAUGACGGUACCGAGAGAAGAAGCCCCGGCUAACUUCGUGCCAGCAGCCGCGGUAAUACGAGGGGGGCGAGCGUUGUUCGGAAUUAUUGGGCGUAAAGGGUGCGUAGGCGGUUUGGUAAGUCUGAUGUGAAAUCUAUGGGCUCAACUCAUAGUCUGCAUCGGAAACUGCCGGGCUUGAGUAUGGGAGAGGUGAGUGGAAUUCCUGGUGUAGCGGUGAAAUGCGUAGAUAUCAGGAGGAACACCUGUGGCGAAAGCGGCUCACUGGACCAUAACUGACGCUGAUGCACGAAAGCUAGGGGAGCAAACAGGAUUAGAUACCCUAGUAGUCC
rnacentral:rRNA from 1 species